GCAGAGAAUUCCAUACAGGUUUGAACAAAUAACCAAAUGCAUGUAAAGAAUCCACCAAUCAAACAUGACUAAAGAAGGAAAUCAUCAGAUUAUCUAAAGUUAUCGAUACUGAACUAAGAUGAAACAUGAAGUAGAAAAGCAAAGAGAAAAUUAGUGCCUAUACUUUACGCAAUCCCAAAAAAAAUAGUGCAGAUACUUUUCAAUAUUCAAGCACUCCACUAAUUAACUUCUCAGACACUUAUAAGAGAUCACAUGUCUUAUUUUAGGUCUGGUGGACUUACAGUUUAUGUCAUACCUGUAGAUGUAUAAACAGAUUGCUAACUAUUCCAUCUAAGGCGUCAAACUUUUACACUGAAGCUUUCACUAAAGUCGAGAAAAUCUGAUGCAACAAAAAGAAUUAUUAAAAGAUAAAUGAAUGCCAUUGACAACUGAAGAAACAACCAUACAAUUGAACAAUAUUUUCCACCGAUAUGGUACCUUAAGUAGCAAACGAGGAUUACUUUCUAAGAUCACUCUUCUUGGUGACGAACACUCU
rnacentral:lncRNA from 1 species